rnacentral:pre_miRNA from 1 species
UGACUGCUGCAAGUUGGCCAGCCCCCAGGAUGGGCUGGGUGAAUUCCUCUUUGAAAGGCUCACCAUCAAGCUCCAGCUAUGAGC